rnacentral:tRNA from 1 species
UAUAUUUUAGUGUAUGAUGCACAUAAGUUUUUGAUACUUUUAGAAUUGGUUUAAUUCCAUUAAAUAUAA